rnacentral:rRNA from 1 species
UACGUAGGUGGCAAGCGUUGUCCGGAUUUACUGGGCGUAAAGAGCGCGCAGGCGGUCGUUCAAGUCGCGUGUGAAAGCCCCCGGCUCAACUGGGGAGGGUCAUUCGAUACUGAUCGACUCGAAGGCAGGAGAGGGAAGUGGAAUUCCCGGUGUAGUGGUGAAAUGCGUAGAUAUCGGGAGGAACACCAGUGGCGAAGGCGGCUCGCUGGGCCGGUCCUGACGCUGAGACGCGAAGGCGUGGGGAGCGAACGGG